GGGAGGCCCAAGCAGCGAGCACAUGCCAUAACCUGCUGGAGGGGCAGGUCCUGGCUCCACACUUCACACGUGAGAUAAAAUGUAAGCUCAUACCAACCUCUGAGCACAAGCAAACGGAUGCAGCGCAUCAGCCAGGUGGGUACUCCUAUACUAAUUACUGUGUUUGCGUAUCAGCUUAUGUUCUUUGUGUCACACUAUAAGAACUUAGGAAAUGUGUGCCACUGUGGUUGGAGGUGGUUGUCUCUCAGCGAAGAUGUGAGAACCCUAUGGGCAUGUAUGGCAAAUGCAAAAUGAAAUGGGUUAGUUCCUUUCACGUCUGAAAGUCAUCUUGCUUUGCAGUUCAAGAGACUGAGAGCUUACAUGCGGCCAGUGACUCUGUCCCAGCUAAAAUAUACUUCUCUGCUGAGAAGUGGUAACAUUUCCAGCCAUUCUAAUGUGGUUAUAAGGAUAAGUCUGGUCAUGCCCUCAUAUGUCUCUCUUUGCUUUAUCUGGUUAAGGCAGUGCCCCUUUCAGAAUGAAGGCAAGCAAUGUGACAUUUCAGGUACUACAGCAAUCUUAAUUGCAAGUCAUUCUAGUAGCGGAGGUGACUAAUGUAAUAAAUACGCACACAUGCAUCGAUACAGACAGCACUCAUUGCAAAAAUGACUGCCAGUCAUUUCUCUAACCAGAAUGUACUAUGAUGUGUACUCUGCUGUUGAAGUUUUAGUGGUGCUUCUGAAUGCCAUACAGCUGGGCCCCACUCUUAAAAAUAGCAGCGAGAUAUGAAUAAGUGCUGUUUGGUUCAGCAGGAAAGAAGAAAACAUCACCUCAGUAGGAACAGAUGAGUCUGGUUAGGUUUUAUGUCUCUUGCUGAAAAACUGCAAAGGAAUAGCUGUAUUUCACAGUGAAAAUUGCAUUUAAUUGAAAGCAAAACAUUCAAGCACCCAAAAGAGAAGUGAGAAGAAGGGAUCCCACUCACAGGGGGAUAGUGGAGCUGAGAGGCUGUCCCUCUAGUCUGGUGGCCAACGGGGCACAGUCCUGUGAGGUUCUGGGGAAGGAGUGGGCUCAAUGAGUGAAAGAUGCUAACACGACCCAGACACUCUGCAACAUUAAACACUUAAAAAGGUUUGGGGUUUUGAAUACAGAGACCUCAGCCUACUUGGUUACCAUGGCAAACAAUCACCAAUAGAAGUCUUUUAAUCUUUAAUUAAAGAUACACAAAAAAGGAGAAAAAACAGUUUAAGCACUUGAAAAAUAAGACUUUAUGCUUUAAAAGUGUCCAUUAUCCCUCUUCCCUUAGCUGUCAACAGUUUUUGUAGCAGUGCUUCCCUCCCUUUAUUUAAGGUCAUAGCAGCACUCACUGUUUUUUGGGAGACACUCAUUGAGAUAGACUGGAUCUGCUGUUAGUACUCAUUUUGGGAUUCUGCUUUGCUCAUUUGAAGACACAGGCAUGCAGGAGGGGAGAGGAAAGGAGAGCAAAGACAAAAAUUAUUACUUCCUCUUCAGGUGUUGACUUUUACUUGCAGCCUCACUGCUAGAAAAAGACAAGCACAACACAUGGACUUAUCAGCCCCUCUCUGAUCAAGGGGAUUUAUAUCAGCGUCUGUCUCAUUUAGACAUUGCUUUUGGUUGUCUCCUUGAUUGCAGUUCACAGCUGUGUUGUACAACCCGUACCCUCCUAUCUAGGAUAGUUUGAUUAAAAGGAAGGUAAAAGAAAGAAAAGGCAGAGAAGCAUGUGAAAAGACUGCAAAGCUACUGAGAGAAGGGUGGCUUCAGGACCCCAAGUCUUCCCUUCCAAGUGGGUUUCCAGGACUGCACUGAAAUUGGUGGACAUAGCGAUGACUCCCAUGUAUCUCCUCACCAGAAACUCACCAGAAGGUCUGACCAGAUCAAGUAAGUGUAGAAUCAUAGAAUCACAAAGGUUGAAAAACACCCACAGGAUCAUCCAGUCCAACCAUUCACCUGUCACCAGUGGUUCUCACUAAACCAUGUCCUUCAACACAACGUCCAAAUGUUCCUUGAAAUACCAACAGUGUCACAGCAGAGACUUAGAUCUCGAAGUUGACAACGACAGCUGUCAGCAUUUCUCCUUUCUGUCCACCUAUUCUAGGAUCAGUAUCAAAAUGGAUGUACCCCAGAGGAUGAUGUACAUGCCACCAGUCACCAGUUGGCUUUAGCUCCUGGCACAUGAGUUUUGGUCCAUUGAUUUUGGCAUUUAUCUUGUACAUCAGGCCUGAUGUCAGCACAGUCCUUGGUUAAUAUUAGGAAGACUUUCUGAUUGAACUAAUUUGGUCUUCCCAUCUUUAACUUGUGCUGACUUCUCCAAGUAAUUUUCUCCAGCAGACUGAGCUGCACUUUCUCACCUCUGUGAACUUUAGCACAUGCGUUUGCCUGAUGUGCUCGCGUAGGAUGUUCAAUGCCCUCUUCUGCUUCCCUGUCUACCCUUCUUCUUUUCCAGGAGAAUACCACAGUCACAAGAGCAGGGGUACCCUGGGAGAGGCUCUGCCAAUGGCACUUUCAUAUUCCUUAGUAGCGCAGUACUCAUUAGCACAGACUGGGGAAGCCAGGUGAAUUGUGUCCAUGAGUGUCUCUACUGGGGUCUGGAAAGACCUUCCGCACAGAUCAGGACACAUAAGUGGUGAGGAGUAAGAACAACCCACCUUAGUAUGCAGCACAGCACAACCUUAUGGCAUUCUCUUGGGAGAUAAGUGAUGCUGGUUCUAGUUCCCCCAGGCAGAGGAGGAAAUUAAACCCAGGACUCCCACAUCCUUUAUGAGCGAAUAAAAAGUGGCUGUCUUCCUCUCAGCUUUGUGAAUAUAAUCGUGAUAUUUUCUUCCGGGGAAUCAAUUUGGUAAGUCCACGCUGAAUUCAACAAUCAUUUUGGGACAAUGGAAAAAAAAGCAAACAUUUUUCAAUGAGAAGGAUGCUGGCUAAAAAAACAUUCUAUUGACUGUAGUGGCAGUACAACAACCAGACAGACCCCAUCACUCUGCCACUUUAUAUCCAGCAGCUGUAGGACAGGAAACUCUCAUACUUGCAGACAGCGGAGGAACUUACCUGGCAAUGUGAAAUCUUGCUAGGAAAAAAGGGUUGUGCGGGAGUAAUGAAAUCCUCUGGGAAUGGCAGAUGAAACCUGAACACCGGUGGGACUGCCUUGAGUUCUGACACAAUUACCACAGUGCAUAAGAAAAACCUGCAAAGAACAGGCUCACUCCGAGGGCUGAGAUGUGACCAGUGUCCCAGUUAUUAUUAGCUACUAAAGGUCUGAAAAGGUUCAAACUCCAUCUUUGUAGGAAUUCAAACAGAGGGAUGCAUGAGGCCUUGCUGACGGCUUCCAGACUGAAAAAGAAAGCGGAGGGAAAAGGGGCAUUUCUCUGACCUUCCUCGGUGAUUGCUCAGAACUGUGUCUACUGAUGGCCGUGUCCAACACCGACAAGAAGAGGCAAGAGAAGUCAAAAUCUGAGGAGUGAGAUGUUCUGCUAGCACAGAAAAGCCACCUGGAGAAACAAAAACAAAUGUCACACAGCUGCGAGUGGGAGAAAUGCUAUUGUUUUCCUGGUAGCCCGUCCUUCCAGUCUUCUGAGAGAAGCGGGGGAAGGAGGAUUUGACCCUCACUGAGUGAAGGAGUUGCUGAUUUAGUCAAGUCAAGAACAGGAUGCGACGCUUUGGUCUAGUGCAUUGACAUUUGCAUCUCUGAGUGAGAAUGCUUAUUUUCAUUGGAGGAACAGCAAGACUGCCUUUUGAAACAUUUAAAGUUCCUGUUCCCUGCCUCCGUCCAUUCAUGCAAGAGGAACUUCAGCAGAGGAAAGUGGCGCCUGAACCCCCAGUCCCAGGAAAGUCUGUAACACUGGGAAUACUAUUAUAGAAUCAUAGAACUGUUUGAGUUGGAAGGGACCCUUAAAUGUCAUCUCGUUCAACUCUCCUGCAAUGAACAGGGACACCUACAGCUACAUCAGGUUGCUCAGAGCCUGGCUCUAGCUCCUUCAGGAAUGACUUCGGAGAUGUCCUUCACUGCUUGUGUUUCACAAGAGCUUGGGCCUGGCUUGAGUUAGUCUUGAGGCCACGACACUGCACAGGGAGCCCACAGUGCCAGCCCAUUGGGCUCACCCUCUGUCCCACCUCUGCACUGCUAAAAAAGAGGAUGCAUGGAUAGGAAUGGGGAGAGAAAGUUAUGGGCAUUGUGACUGUAGAUCCACCUUUGUGAAAGUCUGUGCUUUAUCUCUGUGAUUCAGUUACUUCUUAAAAGACAUGAAAAGAAUGGAAUUAAGAUGGCAAAUGCAAUUGUCUGUCCUGCUAAAAGCAUUGCGAGCAAAAGCAGCUUUCAGAAAAGGCAGUGACAGAACGACCUGGCUGCGAUGUGCUGGGUUUGGCUGGGGCACGGAGCACCCUACAAAUCCCCACGGGAAGAAAUGGCCUCUGCCGGGAGUGAAGUCAUCCAGGGGAGCGGCCUGGUAACAGCCGACAGCCUCCCUCAGUCUUCUGGGGACUCCCAGAACCUUCCUAAGCUUUCUAGGGCCUUCUGAGGCUGUGAGGAGAUGCGGGUCACCAGGCCAUCAGGCCCUGCCUGCGCUGAGAGCAUCACGCUCGGACACAGAGCAGCCAAGCCGACCCCACACCCGUGGUGUCCCCCACAACAAGGCCGCUCGUCCCGCAGCCCUCCGCCAUUUCCCCACUGCCUCCCUGGGGGAGGCCCGCGCUGCGCGGGGGCAGGGGGUGCCCAGCUGCCUGCUCGCACCUGCCGCUGCUCGCAACUGCAAUUAGUUGCACCCGGUCGAAGCCAAAUUGAGGCCCCUUUCAAGCCGUAACUCUGCGCAUUCUGUUUCCAAAGGGAAGUUCAUCUUUUAUGUGCAUGCAAAAUGGAUAACACCCAAGGAACUUUUUUUUUUCUUUUUUUUCUUUUUUUUUUUUUCUUUUCCCCUUCUGCCAGUCAGGCGAGGAUUUGUUUAAAAAAGCACUGCUGCGGCGGUGAGGUUUUAGCAAUCCUUCUGGUUGGGCUUGGGAAAGGUUGGCUUGUCAAAGAGCGGGCUCAGCGUGUGUGGCCUGCUCCUGGCGAGGGGUGCUCCCGGAGUGGAUGUCUCACGUCACAUUGGCAGCAUUACAUUGCCGUCGCAGCUCUCUUAGGCACUCUGCUCCCCCACACCGUUCCCUUUUCCUGCAGCCUCUGCCUCGGGCUCUUUUCCUCCUCCCUCACUCCUCCUCGUUGUUUUUCCUGCGCCCGCAUCCACAUUCACCCAUCUGCAAAUCCCCUUUCCUUGGGAUGGCGGUGCGUGGUGGUCCCCGGUUCUGCUGAAUCAGUUCUUCCAAAGGCAGGGCUCCCGUCCCUGUGAUUGACAGAAGGUGCUGAUUCAGUAGUGCGUGGGGGAUCCGGCAGCAACCGCAUUAAGAGGAUUUACAAAAAAGAUAAGGCGCAGCGCUGAGCUUCCCUCGGUAAUCGUACAGCACACAAUUCGGGACUGCGCUGGGAAUUUCGGCGCGGCUGACAGAGAGUCGGAAACUGUGUAGCUGUGAGGCCUUGAUUGGAGGGAGCAAGUCCACUGAAGGGGAGCACGCAGAGAAAAGCAGGCGUGUGAAGAGGCUGCUCGCUGGUAAAGCAGACCACAGCAUUUGCUACGGCGGUCGUAGAUCAGACUGCUCACGGAAAGGGGCCCUUGUCUGAAGAUUCCCACUCCAGUCCCAUUGACUUUAUGGAUAGUCCUCGGGAUCUUGUCUGAGCACAUCCAAAUGUUUGUACAGCACCUGAUGCAAACAGGCCGUCGUCCUGCUUCAUUUGUCAAAUGAUAAAUAACAUAAUAAUGCUGUAAUUGGAGUCAUUCAUACAGACAGUAAUCAUCUGGUGAUUCAGUACAGCACAGACUUGUGAGGUGGAAGGCUGUGCUAAGCUUAUGCAGAGACUUCUAUCUUGCUCAUCAGUUUCUGCAC
ensembl:lncRNA